CAAGGAUGCCAUAGAAUGACACCCUGUCCUAGCCAACAAAACCGGACCCUUAUGCACCAGUUGCCUGAAGGAAAGCAUCAUCAUCAUCAUCAUAAGCCUGCAAAGAACAGCCUGCCAACAGAGCCUCAGUGUGAAGGAAGGACAACUGUGUUCCACAAUCAAAACGCUCCAGGGUGGGGUGAUUUGCCAAAAAAACCUGGAUGUCUGUACACACCCUUUAACAAGAUGGACAAAAGGCUACUCUUUGAGAAACAUUAUGUACAUCAGCCAGGAAGAAGCUUGACCAUGGGACCAUGUGGGGAAGAGAGGGUCACAGGAGCCUCUGCUCCAGAAACAGAAACACAAUAUUUGGUUGCAUGGAAUUUGUCAUCCUGAAGACAUGAAUGGCUGCUUUUGGCUUUUGUGGAGGAAGAGAAAUGCAUCCCAUGAUAUAGCAACAGGAAUUUGAACUAAUUUACCUUCAUGUUACUUAGUCACUACAGUGAAGUGGACAUGGACCAGGACGACCUGACUUUCAAAUCUCCAUUCAGUCAUGAGGUUCACUCCACUGCCUUGGAUAAUGCCAAGUCUCAGCCUAAUUCAUGCAAGAGCAUAGGAAUCUGCCUCAUCCAGAACCCAUGUGGCUCAUUAUUGACUACAUUGACUUGCAACAGCUCUCCAGAGUUGCAGACAGGAGUCUUUCCCCAGCCCUUCCGGGAGAAGCCAUGAAUUGAACUUGGGACCUUUUGCAUGCCAAGCAUGUACCCUGCCACACCCAUUCCCCAUGGCCUUUCCCCACCUCAUAGGAUUACUGUGAGGACACAGUGUGAUAACGCCUGUACACUAUUGCUGACCACCUUGGAGGAAGAGAAGGCAAAUGUGACAAAUGCAAACGCCUAGCCUUGCAAUUCUAUGCAUCUGAGCAGACUGUUAUGAAAGCAUAUUCUGCCUUUGAGCAGCAGGAUUCUGGUUGAGGGGCCACCCACUU